UUUACGCCACAUUAAAGUAUAUUUACUUCAUCAUUCCGACUUGCUGUGGUAUUGCAGUGCACAAAGACAUGUGACAAGGAGGAUAUUCAUGGAUGAAAAUCAGAAAAUAAAAAAUAAAAAUCUUGAAAAUGUCGGAACAACAUUCAGUUGUGCAACAAAAGCUCGUCACUUUUUCAUAACAACCCGAGUCCUAACUGAACACAGGUGAUUAUGGCAGUAUGACUGACAUCUAGUGGCUGACUGGAGGAAGGAAAACGUCUGAAUGACCUGCGCACUGUUGCAAAACUGAAAGUCACAGGGAUAUGGACUUUCAGUUAACCCAGUGCUAACCCAGCAGGAUGGUCUUUUUGCGGAUGGCAGCGAACUUGUCCAGUAUGUUUUGGGAUCAGAGGAAGACUUCCUCCACCUUUUCCUGUCUUGAUGGUGUAGGUGCAAAACUACAGAAGAGACAUGAAAGGUGAUUUAAUGGGACAAGCUGUACGGGGCAUUAAAGAACACAACUCCAAGCUCAGGAGAGAUGAGUCUCUUGGACAAGUCAUCUGUUCAGACAAAAGAAGAAGACCGAAAAGACACAUGUGAACAAAGAGGACAUUGGACAUGAAACAGGAAGGCGUUGACCCCAGGGAGGUUCUCUGUCCCAAUGUGUGUCAACAAAACUGCAUCGACUCGGUCGAGGUGGCGGACCAGCUUCCAGAAACAGGCCUGGGAGUCUGAGCCGCCAUCCACCAGCACUGUGAACCCA